rnacentral:lncRNA from 1 species
CUGUCAGAGUUCGCAUGGAUCACAAGAUCGCUACUUUUCACUGUCGUUGUCGUCACGGCCUUGUCCAAAUCGAACUGUCUGAGCUACUGAUGCCCUACAACCCGAGACGAUCUCUUCCAUGUGCACAAGCAGAUAUGCGUAGGCAAUAGGUCCUACUGCGCAUGCGCAAAUAUUUGUUUACAUCCGGAAACUACUAGCAGGCAGCAGACGACAGUACUGCAGAUCUACCUAAGAAAUAACUAGAAAAUUAAAGAUCUUGGAUAAGGAAAAAUCACAUGUGCUUAUAGCAAGGGAAACAAGAAUGUGGAAGAAAAAGCUGAAACUCCACAAGUGACAAGUACAAACCGGAAGUUUUCAUCGGCACUUACAGGAGCUCGAUGUUAGUGCCAGACUGUGAUGUCCUCUGACGCCUCGUUCCCCAAUAUACAAACUUGAGAGAGUUGGCUAUAUUGAAAAACAAAAGAAAUACAUCAUUUUGUCAUGCACUAUGUUCUGAGAAUUCUCCAUGAGUCUGUCCACUGCUGACAGCCUGUUCAGAGAUGUGAUAGCUCAGCAACCGGUGAGGUUUACUUCAUAGGUCAAAUGCGGAUUCUGCUUUCGGUUAUCCAGCUACACAUGCACUUCCUUCCAACGCCUCUUUGGUCGCCACUGUUAUCUGUCAUCUAGCCCUCUGAGCGACUACGACAUAGCUCACAGCCCUUCCGCCAACCACACUACGCCGCACUCUAUCUCGAUAAAGCACGCGACCAAGACGUGUUUUCUUUGGUGGGCCAUGCGUAUAAAUACUGCUUACCCCAUGCCUAAGGAGAAUGUACAAACAAGAAAAAUCUGUGUAAAAUCGGGUGAACUGUUUGUUAACACAAUGAAAAAUACGCGGAAACCAAGAAAGGCAACCUCUUGGAAGAAACCUGGUCUACACAGAGCACAGAGCACAGAUUUUCUUUGGCUGGUCAAACCAUUAGUGCGUUUGUAUGCAUGUCCCGUUGAUCACAUACGAGUCUGAUACAAAACUGACCACAGACAGGCGGCUGACCAGAAGUCCAGAGCUGUUGACAGUCCAAACAGCUGAAUGUCCGUUCGAUACAAUUUCCUUGAUCGAUAUUCCGCGAUAUUAGACUUGCAGCUGAACACUGAUAGCGAAAAUGCUUCCAGGCCGGCGUUCCCGCAGUAUGCAAAGCAGUUAAAGGUUCGCUAGAGAGUUUGUGUCUGGUUUUUUGUACCGGAAUAAGCUCUGUACAAGCAUGACUUCACAAAAUCCGCUUUCCAUUACUUCAGAAUUCUUGAGGUACAAACUUGUGAAGCAAAACAUCGUCAAGCAAAGAAAGACACAAAACGCUGACACCGUUAUCUAUCUACAUAAUGACCUACAUUAUCGACACUGCAGUCGAUGAGACAGCUAAGUUCAUCUGUUAGCUAUGCUAAUCCUUAGCAUUUGUGACGUCACAGGUCUAUUGACGGCGAUGUUUAUAGGCUUGUGUCUCUAGAUAGUAAUGGAAAGGAGACUUACUCACUAGGGAUACAGUUGUUUUUUUUUUUUUUUAAGAAGGCUCCACCCAAUGGUUAACUCAACAAAUAUCUGCACUAUUGCAGAGCUUUAACAACCGCCCAAAAGGCCAUCAGAAUGCAUUUAGCUACAUCACACACCCAAAGAUGGAGUCCUUUACGACCGCAGACAAGAUGUUUAUCGCUGGCCGGCUGCGUGUAAGGACGGGCACAAAGCUGCAUGACAAGAAUGCAGAAGCUCGAGCAUUUGUAACAAGGUCCGAUAGGCAUACGAUCUGGAGGUGUCAUCAUAUUCUGAUAACUUUGAUCAGCAGAAGAUCGAUGAGAUGCUAGUUUUAACAGCCCCUGAGGUGCUAGGGCGACAUAGGAAGAAAAAUUAACCCUGGAUCAUCAAUAUCCUAUAUCUCUAUGACUGUCACAGACACUCGCGUACACGUAGACGUCUCACAUGCGCGCAUUCUUUUCUUCCCAAAGCAACUCUACCUCUUUCACAGGCCUGUGUACAUUUAAUGAUAUUAACUAAAUUUAUGCUACAGUAGCAAAUAAAAAUACACGAUAUAUGUAGAAAAUGAUUUAUCAGUAUACAUCCCUCAGUCAAUUCUUACAACUGUCUCUUGUGUUAAUAUCUCUGACUGUAAAGAUAGUCCUAAAAAAAAA